AGAGUUUGAUCAUGGCUCAGAACGAACGCUGGCGGCGUGCUUAACACAUGCAAGUCGAACGAGAAAGGGCUCUUCGGAGCCCGAGUAAAGUAGCGCACGGGUGAGUAACGCGUAGAUAACCUGUCCUGGUGUCUGGGAUAACCCACCGAAAGGUGGACUAAUACCGGAUACGCUUGCUGAGCGGAAGCGAUGCAAGGAAAGAUGGCCUCUGAUGUAAGCUAUCGCACCUCGAGGGGUCUGCGUACCAUUAGCUUGUUGGUGGGGUAACGGCCUACCAAGGCAACGAUGGUUAGCGGGUCUGAGAGGAUGAUCCGUCACACUGGCACUGAAACACGGGCCAGACUCCUACGGGAGGCAGCAGUGAGGAAUAUUGCGCAAUGGGGGAAACCCUGACGCAGCGACGCCGCGUGAGUGAGGAAGGCCUUCGGGUCGUAAAACUCUGUCAGAAGGGAAGAAGUGCAGCGAGGUUAAUACCCUUUCUGUUGACGGUACUC
rnacentral:rRNA from 1 species